GUUUCUGGAGAAACAAGAAACGAAUACUUCCUCAGCGUGGAACUCGGCGACCCGAAGUGCCUGAGACCCACCACGAAAAUGUCUUGCUUCGACAUUACUAAUUUCGUCAGAUUCACGGACUACCAUCGCCCUCCUAAAGCAGCGCCCGCUAGGCUCUGCACGUCGCACGCGGAGAGCUGCUCGAACCUCACGCGGUAGAACCCAUCUGUAUCAGCGGGUCACAUCAGAUUAAGCCGCAGCCGAGGAAACGCCACGCACCGCGGAGGAGACCCACCGGCAGGAACGUGACUGGCGACACCAGUACCGCGCGCCACGGUUUCCUCACAAAGUGAGGACGGAAAACGCAAGCCGGUGAAAGUGCCGGCGGUUCUACCUCGUCCCGCACAACCGUAAGCCUUUAUAGAACAGUCAGGCCUCACGACAGAAAUCAGACAGGUCGGGCCUCGACUUUUUCUGAAAAGAACCUCAGCUCACGAACUGGGCUUCCCGGGGUGGGGCGGAUGGGAAUUCGGGAGGGCACCCGUGAUGAGCCCCGGCUGAUGCAGGAAGUUGUGGAAUCACUGCACUGUGCACCUGAAGCCGAUAUAAUACACCGCGGGCUGACUACCUGGAAUCAGAAUAUAAACUGAAAACUUUUAAAAAGGGCUUCUUUCCGAAAAGCACCUAGCGGAACAAAAACACCACACCAGGCUUAUCCUUGGUUCUAGCGGGCGCUUCUGUAAUCAAUAUUUAAAAAAUAAGUUUGCUUUCAUUCCCUCCACCGUAGGAAGUUGUUCAGUAGUGCUAACAGCUCCUUCCAUCAUUGUGACGUCUUCAAAAAUUUUUCUGAAGGACAUGCGCUUUUAUUAGGAAACUGGUAAUUCAUUCCCAAAGGAACCCCUAGGCAAACAAGUUGAUUUAUGCUUCAGAACUAAAGAAUCAACUAUUAACCAUUCUCCACCAAGGCAUUUAUUUGAAGUCAGUCCGUCACAACAGAAACCAAAGUCUGCUUUACCACAGCUGUUAACGUAAAAUGAACACCAGUAACCUUUCGUUGUGUGAUGAAUUUUACAAACCUGCUUCGUAAUUUACACGGAAGAAAUGAAAUACGGCAGGAAGAUAAAGCGUACUAACGUCCUGGGUGCCCAGAAGAGCAGAACGUUUCACCGUGUGGCAAUACGCGUGACGUCUGACAGCACCACUGCAUAUACCUUUCUAAGGCAAGUUAACGUAUAAACUUGAAAAGUGUUAAGAAUCUUCUACUGGACUUACAGCUUCCUCCAGAAGCUGAGCAUCAGGGUGGUCUUUUGGAGUGUGUCUAAGAAUUUCUUUUAAUAGCAGAGGGUAUUUGACCAGGCGGCUUCGAGGAAUAUCUAGGAAGCUCCAAAGAUCUAGUUUUCGACUGAAGGGAGACUCAAGACACCGCUGGAGGAAGUCUUGGACUCUCGGGUCCUGUUUCUUCUGAUCAAGAAGAACUUUGGCCGCCAGCUGGUUACUACAGUAACCUUUGUAGGCAUUCAGGCCCGGCAACUGAAGGAGAGGAAGCGAAAACACAGUACGUCAGUGGACCCAAUGGACCUGGUAUUCGCCACAGAUGAGGAGUAUGGCAUAUAUGUAAAAACUAUCUGGUGUCAGCAGCUCACUUCAUACCCAGUUCACAAGAACGUGACCGAUCUGCUCCACUGUUCCACCAGGUUUCGUUGCUUCUGCUAUUCUUGCCAACAGAUCUGAAGUGGAAAAAGGCAGAGAUACCAAUAAUACGCUCAUUUAAAAAAAUAACUCCACGCUAAGUUAGAAGUUCAGAUUCAAAACAACUUCUGCUAAUGCUGUUCAGAUACCAAUGAGAAUUCAGUGGCCUAUCUUACCUUCAUGGAGAGGUAUGUAAGCGUCCAAAUCACCAAAUAUCUGGGUGAGUUCCUCCUCUGACAUAAUAGACAGCUUUAACAUGGGGUCAUGGUAGGCCUAUCAGAGGGGGAAAAGUGGGUCAUGCAAAGCGAUCAACCAAAUAAAACAUGAUGAGAGACCUUCUUGAACACAAGCAUGACUGACUACAUAAAAGCUAGCGUGGAUUUCAUUUAUUACACAUCAAAGAAACUAAAGUAUAUGUUAAUACUCAAACGGGCUCUACUGAUAUUCAUAUUUGAAGAGAUGUGAAACUAUAGAAGAAGGUUUUAUCCUUUAUAAUUUGUUAAAUAAAGUUUUUUAAAACUAGA